CUCAAAGAUUAAGCCAUGCAAGUGGUUAUAUUAACCCGACAGUUUAAAUAAGUGUUAAAAUGCUACCCAUACACACUCAUACACGCAUUAUACGAGAUUGCUUACGGUAGCAACGAUUUCAGCGUGAAUCACACCCUACAGUGAAUCACUGCAAUGAAUUUCAUUCAGUAUCACUUACGCAACUGCAGACAGCUGCUUAAUACAGUCACACUUGUCUUGACUUGGCUCAUAUAUUAUAUGAUAUUCGCGUAUCAUAUAUAUAUACUGUACACACAUACAUUGAUUUCUCUGUAUCGCUUGUCUUAUAAGGAGAUGCGUUACACCGUGACAAUUUUCUUUAUGGAUAACUCAGGGAAAGUUUGGCUAAUACGUACGAGUAAUAACCUCAUCACACACAUACACAUACACAUACACCAAUGUAUAUGUAAGACACACACUACUCAGCACUCAAUGGUAAACUUUGGCUUCGUUCGCGUCACCAGUUUAAAGUUUAACUGCAACAUGAGAGACAUUGAGCACGCACGUGUCGCGCCUUCGGGUGCCUCACAUCUACGCUGAGCAGACUUUGCGAAGUUUACUUUGCGAAGCAUGUCAUACAAGCAUCUACAGCAUCAAGUCACAGGGUUGGCAAGUGUAUUUUUGAACCUUCAAAGCAGUCACGCAUACGGAAGAGUAGUUUCUGAUCCCAUAGAAGGAGCACCGUACAAUGAGAGACCGCUCUUAGUUCUAAGGAACGCAGCAGGCGCGUAAAUUGCCCAAUGCUAGUACCCUACAAUCACAUACACGAUUGAUAUUAUUACGCGUUAACAAUUUACUGACAACACACACACAUACACUGUGUGCAGCAUAUAUAACACAUUAUAUUUAUUCUGUCACCCGACAGAACACACACACAUCCUUGUUCACGUAAAUAUCCUCGCUAUAUGUAAUUAAUUUUACUGAGGCAGUGACAAGCUGUAACGGUUGAGUAUAAAAAUGACGAGUGUCUGGCAUUGCCGCUCCUUCGGGAGCUUGGCAAGUUGCCGACGCUUUGUGUGCUCAAUUGGAAUGCGGUGAGUUUAAGCAACUCAGAACCUUUGACCGGUGUUUGUAAUAUUUCACUGUUCAUGUAUCUGAAUUUCAAGUGGAGGGCAAGUCUGGUGCCAGCAGCCGCGGUAAUACCAGCUCCACUGGCCUAUACAAUCAUUGUUGCGGUUAAGAGGCUCGUAGUUGGAUUGAACUGCAAACACUACAUGAAUGAAUUCUAUUCGUUCUGCGUUUGAUAGUUUUACGUGUCACGUAUUUUAUACGUUUCGCGUAUCGACGCUACCUAACAUGAAAUUAUUACCACGUAUACGGUUUACCGUGUUACAGUGAUAUUUCUUAUUAUACUAGCACACUCGCUCUGCUGUAUCGCAACACACACAUACACACCCACACUGCAGCAACUGAGUGAUCAGUAUAUACCAUUUACGUCAUGGUAUGAUACACGCAGAGAAUUGAAUACAUUCUCUUAUUUCAACACUGUGAACAAAUCAGAGUGUAUCAAACAUGUCGUUUUUGAAUGUGCAUUGAAUGUCUUAUCAUGGGAUGUUGCACUUUCAGCCUGUUAAGAAUUAUUACGUACAUACGCUGCGCAUAAUAUUCACACACAUACACACCCGAUGCAGCAGUGGUAAGCUUACUAUACGCUAUGUAAAAAAUUCAUAACGGUUAUAAAUGUCGAUGGGGAUAGUUGGAGUCAACAGUACUGCUGGGCGAGAGGUGAAAUUCAUUGACCCUAGCAAGACUACCAAAAGCGAAAGCAGUUGGCUAGGCUAUACUCUUUGUGCUUGCGCAGGUGAUUAAUCAUUAUAUGCACAUGCAGUCACACACAUACACGCACACUUCUGCAGUAGUGACAUAUAAUAUAUAUUACAUUACCACACAGCGCAUUACACUUUACAAUGAAGAACGAAGGUUGGGGGAUCAAAGAGGAUCAGAUACCCUCGUCGUCCCAUUAAUUACAUCAAACGAUGGGCUCUCAAUUGCAUUUUCUUUUAAAUUGCAAAUCUCCUCAGCCUACAAAAUGACUUGGCUUGAGCUCGUAACUCUGUUACGCUCGCCUGACUAUUUUCGUACGGUCUCGAUGGACGUUUCAUUUAAUUAUCUUUGCGUGUAAGCAUUGUACUAAUCUUUGAAACACAAGAUUGUACUGCGUGCACUUGAUUUUCGGAGCUUUGCGCUCAAUUCUGGUGAGAUGUAAGCAGUAUGUUAUAUUACCCGCAGUGUAUGUCUUUGGACAUUUCAUCUGUCGUGUUGUAAUUAACACCAUUUACUGUGAAGCACGCUUUAGGCACGCGCUUACUGCAGAAAUGUCUGAGAUCUUCAUCUCCGGGGGUAGUAUGCACGCAAGUGUGAAACUUGAAGGAAUUGACGGAAGGGCACCACAAGAACGCGUGGAGCAUGUGGCUUAAUUUGACUCAACGCGGGAAAUCUUACCGGGUCCGGACACACUGAGGAUUGACAGGUAUUAUUGUAUGAUCACCAUUUUUAUGUGUGUAUCAUACAUGUUAAAUAUGCUAGUCCUUUCAUGAUUAUGUGAUAGGUGGUACAUGGCCGUUCUUAGUUCGUGGAGUGAUCUGUCUGCUUAAUUGCGUUUCACUAAGGGCCUAUAAUUUACGUAUGUUGCGGCGCUUUGACCCCUCUUAAUUGAGCGCGUGUAUUUGUUUGCUUAGCACAUACAAUUAGGACCAGAAAGCAACGAACGUGACCGCAACCUCUUGUUGCCUCUAUACCAAACACAUAGUUGUAUCUUUAUGAUUACGUUUGUGCAAAGAGGCCUUUUAAACUAGAGGGACCGCUGUUACUUUCUUAAACCAGAGGAAGGUUGCGGCAAUAACAGGUCUGUGAUGCCCUUAGAUGUUCCGGGCUGCACACGUGCUACAAUGAUUAUUGCAGUGAGCAUCUCAUUUUUACACACCGCAUGCGCGAGUCUAUUUAUUCACCUUUAGUGUGCUUUAAAUAUGUAUCUCUGCGCGCGGUAAAGCCUGCUUCGAAAGUAAGUGGGUAAUCAAUUAGAAGUAAUGAUUUCCUUAUAUAGCACACAUAUAUACGGCAUCUUUACCCGGCUUACCUUGUUGUAAGUUUCUUGUGUGUAUUGAUGUUUUUUCCGUAUGUGCGAUUGUCAAUUCAUGGUGGGGACAGACCAUUGUUAAUUGUUGGUCUCGGUCUUAACUAGGAAUGCCUUGUACGGGUCUUUGGUUCAACAAACCACCCGGAAUACGUCCCUGCCCUUUGUACACACCGCCCGUCGCUCUUACCGAUGGACUUCUCUGUGAGUUUGAGGGACUGGGAACGCAUAUAAUUCAUUAUAUGCACACCUAUGGAAACUUAAACGAACAGUGUGGUCUAAAGGAAAGAGAAGUCGUAACAAGGCAUCGGUAGGUGAACCUGCAGAAGGAUCA
rnacentral:rRNA from 1 species